ensembl:lncRNA
UAGCUCUUUAUGACCAAGAGCUGAUCAGUACAAAAGACAGCACAUAAUCAAACAAAAGAAUGGUUCACCUCUACUGUCUCCUCUUUCACCUCGUCCUGCUCCGUGUUCAGCUGUCACAGCAGCAAUCCUCAGGUGGCCGAGCGGAGCGCGCGCACACACACACACACACACACACACACACACACACACACACACACACACACACACAGCCCCACUUUAUUCCCCUCACAGGAGUGACGGCGCGGCGGCGGCGGCGUUCGCCACACAUCAGUGAGCACGCCGGGAGGAAGGCAGAAGGCAGACGAGCGGAGCCCUGGGAUGCAUCCUGCCGAAUGUCAGGCCGAUAAUGUCAGGCCGAUAACGGGCGGAAAUAUUUUGCCGUUUGGCAGCAACAUGCGGCGUAGCCAUCAGCGUGUAUUUUAUGACGUGGGACGGGCCAGAUAGAGAGACAAUGCAGAGGUAUGAGAGAUGAGGGAGAGAGGAAGAGGAAGAGGUAUGAGAGAUGAAGGAGAGAGGAAGAGGUAUGAGAGAUGAACGAGAGAGGAAGAGAUGUGAGAGAUGAACGAGUGAGGAAGAGGUAUGAGAGAUGAACGAGAGAGGAAGAGAAAAUCCUCUAAGAGAAGUGUGAGGUACUGGAGGGGGAUAGGGAGUCAAAAGAGAACAAAACGAAUUAUUGAUUAUAAAGAGGGUUGGGAGGAUUUGCUUCUAGUCCCGGCUGAGUUUGGAGUCUCGCUUUUAACUUCAAGAUAGAUGCUGUUGCUGUGGUCUCGCUUUUACUUG